CCUACGGGGGGCUGCAGUAAGGAAUAUUGGUCAAUGGACGAAAGUCUGAACCAGCCAUGCCGCGUGGAGGAUGAAGGUCCUCUGGAUUGUAAACUUCUUUUAUAUGGGACGAAAAAAGGCCUUUCUAGGCCGUCUGACGGUACCAUAUGAAUAAGCACCGGCUAACUCCGUGCCAGCAGCCGCGGUAAUACGGAGGGUGCAAGCGUUAUCCGGUUUCACUGGUGUUAAAGGGUGCGGAGGUGGCAGUGGAGAAAUCUCCGAGCUUAACGUGGAAACUGCCAUUGAUACUAUUAAUCUUGAAUAUUGUGGAGGUUAGCGGAAUAUGUCAUGUAGCGGUGAAAUGCUUAGAUAUGACAUAGAACACCGAUUGCGAAGGCAGCUGGCUACACAUAUAUUGACACUGAGGCACGAAAGCGUGGGGAUCAAACAGGAUUAGAUACCCGGGUAGUC
rnacentral:rRNA from 1 species